CCAGCCCCCCAUUCAAGAAGCCGCUCCGCUAUCCCCGCCAGCACAGGGCGCCCGGCGCGCCUCGGAGCGCACGUUCCGCGCCUUCUCCUGCCCGCUCCCUGGACAUUAUGCGGCCGAGCAGCCGAGCCCCAGUUCUCCUCCUCCUCCUCCUCCGGCUCCUCCUGCGGCCCGAGCGGCUCAGCUCUCGGCAGGCGGCGGCGUUGCUCAGCCGAGCGCAGACGGGACCCUCGCCGCGAGACCUCAGCGACUCCUAAAGUCAAAAGUUGGCGGCGGGCGCCGGGCUCCGAGCGCUCUCCGCGGCCGCUGCCUAGCGUCGCCGCCGCAGCCGCCAAGGAGGACAGGAGGGAGGGGGGAGUGGGGGCGGCGGGGGAGGGGUGGGGAGCACCAUGCAGUUUGUAUCCUGGGCCACACUGCUAACGCUCCUAGUGCGGGACCUGACCGAGACGGGGAGCCCAGACGCCGCGGCGGCCGUGCGCAGGGACAGGCUGCACCCGAGGCAAGUGAAACUAUUAGAGACUCUGAGCGAAUACGAAAUCGCGUCUCCCAUCCGAGUGAACGCUCUCGGAGAACCCUUUCCCACGAACGUACACUUCAAAAGAAGGCGACGGAGCCUUAACUCUGCCGCUGACCCCUGGCCUGCCUUCGCCUCCUCCUCUUCCUCCGCUACCUACACCCAAGCGCAUUACCGCCUCUCCGCCUUCGGCCAGCAAUUUCUAUUUAAUCUCACCGCCCAUGCCGGAUUUAUCGCUCCAAUGUUCACUGUCACCCUCCUCGGGGCACCCGGGGUGAACCAGACAAAGUUUUAUUCUGAGGAGGAAGCGGAACUCAAGCACUGUUUCUACAAAGGCCAUGUCAAUACCAAGUCCGAGCACACGGCCGUCAUCAGCCUCUGCUCAGGAAUGCUGGGCACAUUCCGGUCCCACGAUGGGGAUUAUUUUAUUGAACCACUGCUGUCCAUUGACGAGCAAGAAGGUGAAGAGGAACAAAACAAACCCCACGUUAUCUAUAGGCGCAGCACCCCUCACAGAGAGCCCUCAACAGGAAGGCGUGCGUGUGACACCUCAGAACACAAAAAUAGUCACAGUAAGGACAAGAGGAAAACGAGGACGAGAAAAUGGGGAGAGAGGAGUAGCCUGGCUGAUGACGUGGCAGUAUUAAGAAGCAGCCUAACCAAAAGGGCCCUUUCUGCCUAUGGUAACAAGACGGACAGCACAAGGGAAAAGAGGACCCACAGGAGAACAAAACGUUUUUUAUCCUAUCCACGGUUUGUAGAAGUGAUGGUGGUGGCAGACAACAGAAUGGUUUUAUACCACGGAGCAAACCUUCAACACUAUAUUUUAACUUUAAUGUCAAUUGUAGCCUCUAUCUAUAAAGACCCAAGUAUUGGAAAUUUAAUUAAUAUUGUAAUUGUGAACUUAGUUGUGAUUCAUAAUGAACAGGAAGGACCUUCCAUAUCUUUUAAUGCCCAGACAACAUUAAAAAACUUUUGCCAGUGGCAGCAUUCAAAGAACCAUCCAGGUGGAAUCCAGCAUGAUACAGCAGUUCUUGUAACGAGACAGGAUAUCUGCAGAGCUCAUGACAAAUGUGAUACCUUAGGUCUGGCUGAACUGGGAACCAUUUGUGAUCCCUACAGAAGCUGCUCUAUCAGUGAAGACAGUGGAUUGAGUACAGCUUUUACAAUAGCCCAUGAACUGGGCCAUGUGUUCAACAUGCCUCAUGAUGACAACAAUAAGUGCAAAGAAGAAGCAGUUAAGAGUCCCCAGCAUGUCAUGGCCCCAACACUGAACUUCUACACCAACCCCUGGAUGUGGUCAAAGUGUAGCCGAAAAUACAUCACUGAAUUUUUAGACACUGGUUACGGCGAGUGUCUGCUUAACGAACCUGAAUCCAGACCCUAUCCUUUGCCUCUCCAACUGCCAGGCCUCCUUUACAACGUGAAUAAACAAUGUGAAUUGAUUUUUGGACCAGGUUCUCAGGUGUGCCCGUAUAUGAUGCAGUGUAGACGGCUCUGGUGCAAUAACGUGGAUGGAGCACACAAAGGCUGCCGGACUCAGCACACGCCCUGGGCUGAUGGGACCGAGUGUGAGCCUGGAAAGCACUGCAAGUUUGGAUUUUGUGUUCCCAAAGAAAUGGAGGUCCCUGUGACUGAUGGAUCCUGGGGAAGUUGGAGUCACUUUGGAACCUGCUCAAGAACAUGUGGAGGGGGUAUCAAAACGGCUGUUCGAGAGUGCAACAGACCAGAGCCAAAAAAUGGAGGGAAGUACUGUGUAGGGCGCAGAAUGAAAUUUAAGUCCUGCAACACGGAGCCAUGUCCCAAGCAGAAGCGAGACUUCCGAGACGAGCAGUGUGCUCACUUUGAUGGAAAGCAUUUCAACAUCAAUGGUCUGCUUCCGAACGUGCGCUGGGUCCCGAAGUACAGUGGAAUUUUGAUGAAGGACCGCUGCAAGCUGUUCUGCAGGGUGGCGGGGAACACGGCCUACUAUCAGCUCCGUGACAGAGUGGUAGAUGGAACUCCAUGUGGCCAGGACACCAAUGACAUCUGUGUCCAAGGCCUUUGCCGGCAAGCUGGAUGCGAUCAUGUUUUAAACUCAAAAGCCCGGAGAGAUAAAUGUGGGGUUUGUGGUGGCGAUAAUUCUUCGUGCAAAACAGUGGCAGGAACAUUUAAUACAGUACAUUAUGGUUACAAUAUUGUGGUCCGAAUUCCAGCUGGUGCUACCAAUAUCGAUGUGCGGCAGCACAGUUUCUCAGGGAAAUCAGAGGAUGAUAACUACUUAGCUUUAUCAAGCAGUAAAGGUGAAUUCUUGCUAAAUGGAGACUUUGUUGUCACAAUGUCCAAAAGGGAAAUCCGGGUUGGGAAUGCCGUGAUAGAGUACAGCGGGUCCGACAACGUAGUGGAAAGAAUCAACUCCACAGAUCGCAUUGAACAAGAACUUUUGCUUCAGGUGUUGUCCGUGGGAAAGUUAUACAACCCCGAUGUGCGCUAUUCUUUCAACAUUCCAAUUGAAGACAAACCCCAGCAGUUUUACUGGAACAGUCAUGGACCCUGGCAAGCAUGCAGCAAACCCUGCCAAGGGGAGCGGAAACGAAAACCUGUUUGUACCAGGGAAUCUGAUCAGCUUACAGUUUCUGAUCAAAGAUGUGAUCGGCUGCCCCAGCCAGCACCCAUUACUGAACCCUGCGGCACAGACUGUGACCUGAGGUGGCAUGUGGCUAGCAGGAGUGAAUGUAGUGCCCAGUGUGGCUUGGGUUACCGCACAUUAGACAUCUACUGUGCCAGAUACAGCAGGCUAGAUGGGAAGACCGAGAAGGUUGAUGACAGUUUUUGCAGCAGUCACCCCAAACCAAGCAACCGGGAAAAAUGCUCAGGAGAAUGUAACACUGGUGGCUGGCGCUAUUCUGCUUGGACUGAAUGUUCUAAAAGCUGUGAUGGUGGAAGCCAGAGGAGAAGGGCUAUUUGUGUCAACACCCGUAAUGACGUACUUGAUGAUAGCAAAUGCACGCAUCAAGAGAAAGUCACCAUUCAGAAGUGCAACGAGUUCCCUUGUCCACAGUGGAAAUCAGGAGACUGGUCAGAGUGCUUGGUCACCUGCGGAAAAGGGCAUAAGCACCGCCAGGUCUGGUGUCAGUUUGGCGAAGAUCGAUUAAACGAUAGAAUCUGUGACUCUGAGACCAAGCCAGACUCCAUGCAGACCUGUCAGCAGCCAGAAUGUGCGUCCUGGCAGGCAGGUCCCUGGGGACAGUGCAGUGUCACUUGUGGACAGGGAUACCAGCUAAGAGCAGUGAAAUGCAUCAUUGGGACAUACAUGUCAGUGGUGGAUGACAAUGACUGCAAUGCAGCAACUAGACCAACUGAUACCCAGGACUGUGAAUUACCAUCUUGUCACCCUCCCCCCGCUGCCCCGGAAGCGAGGAGAAGCACACACAGUGCUCCAAGGACCCAGUGGCGAUUUGGGUCUUGGACGCCAUGCUCAGCCACUUGUGGAAAAGGUACCCGGAUGAGAUAUGUCAGCUGUCGGGACGAGGAUGGCUCUGUGGCUGACGAGAGUGCCUGUGCAACCCUCCCUAGACCAGUGGCAAAGGAGGAAUGUUCUGUGACCCCCUGUGGGCGGUGGAAGGCUCUGGACUGGAACCCGUGCUCCGUGACGUGUGGGCAAGGGAGGACCACCCGGCAAGUGGUCUGUGUCAACUACAGUGACCACGUGAUCGAUCAAAUCGAGUGUGACCCGGAUUAUAUCCCAGAAACCGACCAGGACUGUUCCAUGUCACCAUGCCCUCAGCGGACCCCAGACAGUGGCCUCGCUCAGCACCCUUUCCAAAACGAGGGUUAUCGCCCCAGGAGCGUCAGCCCUAGCCGCACCCACGUGCUCGGAGGAAACCAGUGGAGGACUGGCCCCUGGGGAGCAUGUUCCAGUACCUGUGCUGGUGGGUCCCAGCGGCGUGUUGUUGUGUGUCAGGAUGAAAAUGGAUACACCGCCAACGACUGCGUGGAAAGAAUCAAACCCGAUGAGCAGAGAUCCUGCGAAUCUGGCCCUUGCCCUCAGUGGGCUUAUGGCAGCUGGGGAGAGUGUACUAAGCUGUGCGGUGGAGGCUUGCGGACAAGACUGGUGGUCUGUCAGCGGCCCAGCGGGGAACGGUUUCUAGAUCUGAGCUGUGAAAUUCUUGACAAGCCGCCAGAUCGAGAGCAAUGUAACACACAUGCUUGUCCUCAAGACGCUGCAUGGAGUACUGGCCCUUGGAGUUCGUGUUCUGUCUCUUGUGGUCGAGGGCAUAAACAACGAAAUGUUUACUGCAUGGCAAAAGAUGGAAGUCAUUUAGAAAGUGAUUACUGUAAACACCUUGCUAAGCCAAAUGGGCACAGAAAGUGCCGAGGAGGAAGAUGCCCCAAGUGGAAGGCUGGCGCGUGGAGUCAGUGCUCAGUGUCCUGUGGCCAAGGCGUGCGGCGGAGAAAUGUGGGCUGUCAGCUGGGAACACACAAAAUAGCCGGAGAGACCGAGUGCAACCCAUACACUAGACCGGAGUCAGAGCGCGCCUGCCAAGCCCCGCUGUGUCCACUCUACGCUUGGAGGGCAGAUGAAUGGCAAGAAUGCACCAAGACUUGUGGGAAAGGCUCCAGGUACCGCAAGGUGGUGUGUGUGGGUGAGGACAAAGGUGACGAGGUUCACGGCAUGCACUGUGACAUGAGCACACGGCCUGUGGAUCGCGAGAGCUGUGGCCUGCAGCCCUGCGAGUAUGUCUGGAUCACAGGAGAAUGGUCAGAGUGCUCAGUGACCUGUGGAAAGGGCUACAAACAAAGGCUUGUCUCCUGUAGCGAGAUUUACACCGGGAAGGAGAAUUAUGAGUACAGCUAUCAAACCACCAUCAACUGCCCGGGCGCACAGCCACCCAGCGUCCAGCCCUGCUACCUGCGGGAGUGCCCUGUCUCUGCCACCUGGAGAGUUGGCAACUGGGGGAGCUGUUCCGUGUCCUGUGGCGUCGGAGUGAUGCAGAGAUCUGUGCAGUGUCUCACCAACGAGGACCAGCCCAGCCACUUAUGCCCUGAUGAGUUGAAGCCGGAAGAAAGAAAAACCUGCCACAAUAUCUAUAACUGCGAGUUGCCCCAGAACUGCAAGGAAGUAAAAAGGCUGAAAGGUGCCGGUGAAGAUGGGGAAUAUUUCCUGAUCGUCACGGGAAAGCUCCUGAAGGUCUUCUGUGCAGGGAUGCACUCUGACCGCCCCAAGGAGUACAUGACACUGGUCCACGGUGACUCUGAGAAUUUUUCUGAGGUUUACGGGCACAGGUUGCACAACCCAACCGAAUGUCCCUACAACGGGAGCCGACGUGAUGACUGUCAGUGUCGGAAAGACUACACGGCGGCUGGGUUUUCCAGCUUCCAGAAGAUCAGAAUAGACCUGACCACCAUGCAGAUCAUCACCACUGACUUACAGUUUGCCAGGACACGCGAAGGACAUCCCGUCCCUUUUGCCACCGCCGGGGACUGCUACAGCGCCGCCAAGUGCCCUCAGGGUCGUUUUAGCAUCAACCUUUACGGAACCGGCCUGUCUCUAACUGAAUCUGCCAGAUGGAUCUCCCAAGGGAAUUAUGCCGUCUCUGACAUUAAGAAGUCGCCGGAUGGUACCCGGGUCGUAGGGAAAUGCGGUGGUUACUGUGGAAAAUGUGCUCCAUCCUCUGGCACUGGCCUGGAGGUUCGAGUUUUAUAGUCACGAGACUGACGGUGUCCUGGGAAUUGAGAGCUUUCCAAAGAAAUCUAAUGAACAGCUAAUAGCCAGAUACAGACAAUCCAGUGAAGCACCCUGAAGUUUAGAGCAAGCUGUCCCAUAGAACUUUCUGGAAUGAUGGAAGUCUUGUAUUCUGCACCAGGACAGUAGCUUCUAGUCUUAUGUGGCUAUCGAGAACUGGAAAUGUGGCUCGUGCAACUGAGGAAGUGCAUUUUUGCUUUUCAUUUAAAUAGCACAUAUGACGAGUGACUUGCUGUAUUGGACAGUGUACUUCUGGAAGACGGCAGAUGCAGACGUUUGGAGAAUCCUAGGCCUGAAUGUCUGGGUGGAGACGAGCAUAGCCCCUCCCCCACCGCUGCCCCCACCCCUUCCCCUGGCCUUGGACAGUGACGUGAGCAAGAAAUUAACAGCUCUUUGGAUUGGUGUGUGAGAGUUACUGUUUUACCAGCUGGGCUGCCAUGACUGAUACAGACCCAUGUCUUAGCAGCCACCUUUAUGAAGAAAGGACAAUUCAGUCUACUCAUCCAUUUUACAAGCUCAAGGAAUGCCGGGGGCCUCUGCUGAGAUCUAGUUUUCAACCUAGUCUGUGGCAUUGAUUAUCCUGCUUAGAAGAUGAAAGAGGUGGCUUUGUGGGCCAGAGAGUAAGUAGUUUUACUUAGCGGCUUGGCCGUACUGACCCCAGCUAUAAGCUAAGUAGGAAGGUUCGGUUCUGUUCAAAACUAAGUUCCGAUCGUUUUUUACAACUGCUUUAAACUGUAUGUGUCCUGUUCACGACAGAGAAAGGGCCAUCUGGUUUGAUGAUUUUUUGGCUUGAAGAAGAGAAAACGAAAGACAAGUAUAAGCUUUAAUACUCAAGAGAUCCGAUUCUCUGCCGGAGAGGAAAUGAACUCCAUAUCCAGGAGAAUUCCACCAGGAAGGGGCCAAACAGACCGUGCUCUCUGGAGGAUUCUCAGCAGUGCCGUGAACACCAUUCUGACACUCCUUUCGGUCAUUUCCAAGGUGAGACAGUGACACACCGCUGGAGUAGGACAGCUGAUCUCACCUUCUCUGAUAUCAUCAGAAAGAGGAUCUAGGAAGCUUCCGUGCAACACCAGAAGGGCUAGGAUGGCAGGAGCCAUCUCAUCUGCUCUAUGUGCCUGCCCGUUUCUGGGAGAAGCACCUUGACACCUGUUUUACUGUAAGGAGAACCAACUUUGGAAUCAAACAGACCUCUACCAAAAUCUCAAGUCUGUCACUUACUAACUUGGACAAAUCAUGUCACUUCUGUGAACAUUGUUUUCUUUCAUUUAGGGAUAAUACUAAACUGACGUCACAGAGCUGCCGCAAGGAUAAAAUGAACCGGUGUCUAUGGCAGCAUUUAGGACAGGGCUUCAUACAGAAUCGGUGUCUUGGAGAACUGAGGGUUUGGAGCAUAGAAUUCCAGUCCUGGUGCAUCAAGGAAGGCCUUCAGGGUGGUCCUGUGGAUCAGGAUGUGGGCUUAUGUGUUAAUUAAAACACUGCUUCUCAAACUCCAAUGUGUACUCAUACCACUUGGGGAAUUUUGUUUAAAUGCAGUUUCUGAUUUAGCAGGAUAAUGUCAUGUAAGUGAGCUUCCAGGUAGUAAUUUCAAGGCUGCUGGUUGCUGACAUCACCUUUGAAGAACAAGGAAUCAGAGGUGUUUACCUACCCUGUGUUUCCCUCCUCUUUCACCCACGUAGAAGAGAUGUACUGUCUACUUUGAGUAGGGAGGCGGAGGGGGGGAGUGGAGGAUAAGGGCGAUGCAAAGUCGGCAGACAGAAGGGGAAUCUACGCGGAUGAGGAAAGAAAUCAUGGAAAAAGAGAUGGGUUUGAGGUUUUAAACCCUGACUGGACUUUAAACUCACCUGGAGAGCUUUAAAACUCCAUUUUCAAGUCACCCCAGGAAUACGUAUUUAAUUGACUGGGAUGGGGCCAGACGUGACAUAUUAAAGCAGAUGACCCCUCAGGCUGUCCCUGUGUGCAGCCAGCGUUGAGAACUGCUGGCCUAGACAACAGAGGCAACUUUCCCAGCUGGAAAGAAUCAGGAAAGUGUCUCAUCAAGAUAGUAGAUCAGGUUUGGUGUUAGGGGGCUGCUAGUUUAAGGGGAAAAAAGCCUCAUGAAAAUGGCAGGUAAGAGCAAGCCAACUGGUUGAUACCUUGAGAAAUCUGAUCCGUUUGAUGGGUCAAGAACACCCGAUCUCUGGGUCUCUGAAAUGAUAACUUAGCUCUGGGCCUUUGAAGAAAUGUGUUUUCCUGUGGAGAAGCCAACGGUAAAUGGGAGAUGUGAAAUCCAUGCCACUUUUUUUCCGGAAUCGGACGCUUUUUCUUUCAUGGACAUUGUGGAUUCGAUCGUCCUCUGUGUUCACAGAGGCUAAUGAAUGAUUCUCACUGGAGCACAGGAGCCACCUUGGCUGGUAGCCUUACCCAGGCCUCAAUCCAGUGGGUCUCCAUCAGGGUGCCCUGAGCCUGGCACAUGUGCUCCAAUGCACUCUGACCCAUGAACAUACUUAGUGCUGCUGUGGUUGAGUUUUGACUCUCGAGGCCCAGGUUUAGGCUGCCUUCUUGUCACCAGAAGUCAGCUCAGAGCUGGCUCUUUGCCAGCCUGGACACAAAGCCCAGCCGCCUUCCGGGAUCUAAGCCUGCCAAGUAUCUGCGAAUAUUGUGGUUUCAUGGCAGAUUCCUUAUGUCUUGGGGUGGGAACCACAUCAGACACCGUACAGCAUUUCCCUUGAACAAUCCCCGUUAGGUAUAUCUCUCCCAUUGAAGGCCUGUGCACACAGCCAAUAAGGAGACACUCCUCCAUCACAAACCCCUAGCCCCCUCCCAAUCGCUUACUCCUCUGGAGCAGAGGUGGCUCUGUCCUUUCUGCUCCACGCUUGGCUGCCUUUACCCA